GGGGAGUGCUUUUUUUGGAAGGGCUCCCAGUGGUCUUCGCUGGCUGCGGGCCCGAUCUGGGCCCAGGGUUCCUGCUCCGCGUCACUUCCCGGUCCGCGUCUAGGCCUACUCGUCCAGCGCAUUCGCCUCAGGCCGGGCGAUGGCCAUCCGACGUAAAAAGCCGGGCGUGCCCCCGCGCCUGCCCGACGCCAAGAGCCACCGGGCGGGGAGCAGGGCGCGGUCCAGCAACCGGGUUGUGUUCGAGGCGCUCUCCUGCGGGCCGCAGCCCCAGGAGCAGGCACGGACAGAGCCCCCGGGGGCCCCAGCAGGGCAUCCCGAGGCUGAGGAGGCGCCGCCGGCAGACAGCGGAAGCUCCGAGUCGCCCCAGGAGACCAGGCUGCAGAACCGGCUGCGCAACAACUGGUCCAAGCUGGUCACGGACAAGAUGACCGUCAUGGCCUUUGCCCGCUCCCUCAAGGGACACAGGUGUCCAGCCGUCUUCUACUACCGCAGUUGAGGCCGGCCAGUCGACCCAGUCGACGCGACGUUGCUGCCAGCGAGACGCGCCUCGUGUUGUGUGCAGGAUCGGCGCACUACCGCACGGCGUCCUUAGGUACAUGAGACACAGCUCCAACUUGGCUUUCCGGCGAACUCUCUUCGUUCUUUUUUUUCCUAAAGUGCGCACUUUUCCUCGAUACAAUCAGUGGCGGCUCGUAAAGGAACAAGAGAGCGGUCUGCAGCCAUCCGCGUAGUGUACCCCAAAGUUUAUGUCUAGGGGGCAGCGACGUACAGGAUUUGUCAAAGGUACUCCAGCAUUGCACUGAAGAUAGUAUUACAAUUAGUCGUGCCAAAAUAUAUCGGAGUUACGUGUAUCGCGACUUCUAUCAAAACAUACCUAUAUAUACCCAAUUGCAAGCGCGACAUACCCGCCCGCUGUCGUGUCUGUACUCGUGUGGGCAAGCACGUGGGGCUGCAAGUCUGCCAAAGCUAGCUCCGCGCGCAUCUGCACGGGAUAGCACGCAGGGGGCGCCGUGCGUGAAAUUUCGCAUGGAUGCAGUUAAUUUAAAGCUAUUUCUUUGCACUCCACAAAUAAAAGGAUGACAAUUAU